rnacentral:rRNA from 1 species
CGAAGGGGGCUAGCGUUGCUCGGAAUCACUGGGCGUAAAGGGUGCGUAGGCGGGUCUUUAAGUCAGGGGUGAAAUCCUGGAGCUCAACUCCAGAACUGCCUUUGAUACUGAGGAUCUUGAGUUCGGGAGAGGUGAGUGGAACUGCGAGUGUAGAGGUGAAAUUCGUAGAUAUUCGCAAGAACACCAGUGGCGAAGGCGGCUCACUGGCCCGAUACUGACGCUGAGGCACGAAAGCGUGGGGAGCAAACAGGGAUUAGAAAACCCUUGU